CCCUUAGAUGUUCUGGGCCGCACGCGCGCUACACUGAUGCAUUCAACGAGCACCCGCUGGGCCGAGAGGUCCGGCUAAUCUUUGAACGUGCAUCGUGCUGGGGAUAGAUGAUUGCAAUUAUUCAUCUUCAACGAGGAAUUCCUAGUAAACGCAAGUCAUCAGCUUGCAUUGAUUACGUCCCUGCCCUUUGUACACACCGCCCGUCGCACCUACCGAUUGAAUGGUCCGGUGAAAUUCUCGGACGCGGACUUGCGAUGUUAAUUCGGAGCUUGACUGUGAAAGUUAAUUAAACCUUAACAUUUAGAGGAAGGUGAAGUCGUAACA
rnacentral:rRNA from 1 species